AGUGUCCCUAGUAGUCUUGUCUGUAAAAAGUAAGCAAGUUCAGAGGAUUCAUUUAGUGUGAAUGUUGGUGAUAUAAUAGCUAGUAGCUGCAGUUAGCUCUUAGCUAACUAGCUACUCUAUAGGUUAAGGAUCCCCCACCCUGAGUGAAGCUUCGACUUGAAGUUGAAGAUUAUUUUCUUUCUGAAAGAGUAACAACCCUUUUCUUUAAAUUACAGAUGGAGCAAUUGGACAAGACAACACAGUCACUUCUGGAAGCUGCACAGGCCAUUGCCUUGUUGGAGGCGCUCCUAAAAAUGUUCCCUUACCCAACCGCCCCUCCAAGAAAAGUCGGCAAGUGAGGCACUGUACCAUGUUCUUGAGCCAUCUGAGGACGCCAAUGUCUUCUUGCGUAACUGAUGACCUUGCCAAGGGACAUGCUUCUGGAAUCCCUCAUGAUACUGAUGGGAUGCUACUAUGUGUUCCAGUUAACAUAUUCCAAGUGUAUUGCUAGGCUAUUGUCCAUAAUACAAACAGAGGUACUCAAAGAUCUUAUUCACGAGAGUGACAAGACGACAACAUAUAAAAAGGUGCUUGCUGACUGUCAAGCAUUCAUCCAAACCUAGUCUGUCUCUCCCUCUCUCUUUGUCAACCUCCUACUGUAUGUCACUCUUCUGUAUGUCACUCCCCCCGCCCCCCCCCCUAACUCUUUCUCUAUAUGUCUGGAGGUCAGGACAGCACACAGUAACACAACGUCCAAUGUAUUUCCAGCUACAUUUGUCAAUGAUUUGUUGACUGUUUGAUGUGUUGCUGAAUUGUCAUCGUUUAUGUAGAUGUCAAUGUACCUUGUGUCUGACAGUUUACUUAAAUCAUUAUGUGUAAUAUGUAAUUAAGUACAUUUAAGCAUUCUGAUGCUUAUUAUUGUUCACUACUCUCAAAUGGCUGUUAUUGGUUUUCUUCAUUAACAGGCUAAUAAAACAGUGAUAAAUAA